GUAGGUGGCAAGCGUUGUCCGGAAUUAUUGGGCGUAAAGCGCGCGCAGGUGGUUCUUUAAGUCUGAUGUGAAAGACCCCCGGGCUCAACCGGGGAGGGUCAUUGGAAAACUGGGGAACUUGAGUGCAGGAGAGGAAAGUGGAAUUCCACGUGUAGCGGUGAAAUGCGUAGAUAUGUGGAGGAACACCAGUGGCGAAGGCGACUUUCUGGCCUGUAACUGACACUGAGGCGCGAAAGCGUGGGGAGCAAACAGGAUUAGAUACCCUGGUAGUCCACGCCGUAAACGAUGAGUGCUAAGUGUUGGGGGGUUUCCGCCCCUCAGUGCUGCAGCUAACGCAUUAAGCACUCCGCCUGGGGAGUACGGUCGCAAAGACUG
rnacentral:rRNA from 1 species